rnacentral:rRNA from 1 species
GCCGUACGAUGUCGACUUGGAGGUUGUGCCCUUGAGGCGUGGCUUCCGGAGCUAACGCGUUAAGUCGACCGCCUGGGGAGUACGGCCGCAAGGUUAAAACUCAAAUGAAUUGACGGGGGCCCGCACAAGCGGUGGAGCAUGUGGUUUAAUUCGAUGCAACGCGAAGAACCUUACCUGGUCUUGACAUCCACGGAAGUUUUCAGAGAUGAGAAUGUGCCUUCGGGAACCGUGAGACAGGUGCUGCAUGGCUGUCGUCAGCUCGUGUUGUGAAAUGUUGGGUUAAGUCCUGCAACGAGCGCAACCCUUAUCCUUUGUUGCCAGCGGUCCGGCCGGGAACUCAAAGGAGACUGCCAGUGAUAAACUGGAGGAAGGUGGGGAUGACGUCAAGUCAUCAUGGCCCUUACGACCAGGGCUACACACGUGCUACAAUGGCGCAUACAAAGAGAAGCGACCUCGCGAGAGCAAGCGGACCUCAUAAAGUGCGUCGUAGUCCGGAUUGGAGUCUGCAACUCGACUCCAUGAAGUCGGAAUCGCUAGUAAUCGUGGAUCAGAAUGCCACGGUGAAUACGUUCCCGGGCCUUGUACACACCGCCCGUCAUACCAUGGGAGUGGGUUGCAAAAGAAGUAGGUAGCUUAACCUUCGGGAGGGCGCUUACCACUUUGUGAUUCAUGACUGGGGUGAAGUCUAAAGGGGUAAAAACAUGAA